GCCUGGGUGGCUCAGUGGGUUGAGUGUCUGACUUCCGCUCAGGUCAUGAUCUCACGGUAAUUGGGUUCAAACCCCACGUCAGGCU
rnacentral:tRNA from 1 species